CACCGCCGCCGCCGUCGGCAGAUGCAGAGCCAUAGCGACCGCCUGGCGCUCCGCCUGCCUUCGCCUCUCUCGACCGCUCCACGGGAUUCUACAGCUUUCUCCGCUCUUCCGGAAUAUCAGCCGCCAGACCAGACCCAUUCAGGGACGUGCCCGUUCUUACCUCGGCUCGGGAGGCUGGGCGUCACCGAGACCCCGUCGGCUGAGUCUACAGACGUAAUCACGCUCAGUGUUGCCAUGGAGACCACGGUGACGGGGAAGAUACUUUUUUUGAAAGGGCACUAAUUGCACUGUUCUCCAGAGAAGUACGGAGCAAGCGGAAGAGACACCACAGAACAAGGGGGCUGCACAUGUCGCAUGCCUCUAAAGCCAUGGUCUUCCAGUGAGGAUCCAAAAAAGCAUGCCGGAUGAUGUCGUCGUACACCUUUAGACGCCUUAGGAUAAGUGUCCCCUUGCCAGGCUAGUCAUGGGCACCACAGUCAUCACCAUUGAGGACGUGCAGGCGCUGGAAGUCAAGGAGGAGCAGGAGGAGUCCAUCCUGGCCAUGUUGGGCAUCCUCGGCACAUUCCUGAACCUCUUUGUAAUCAUCUUUGUUUACAUCUACACCAUUCUGUGAAGUGCCAAAGCAAAGGGAUUUCUAACAACAAAGAAACAACCUGCCAACAGAAGAUCCUCCCACGACUAAAGGAGGGCUGUCGAGGGGCGCUCCGCUGCACACGCCGGUGGCUGUUCCACCUCUCCCGUCGUAUUUCUUACGCGGGUGCAAAUCAAAUCAUUGAGUGGGCAGUUGGGGAAGGAAAGGAGAAGGACGAAGUGACACGCGUUUGGAGAAAUAAGUUUGACAUGAGCAUCUUCCUGAGCCAGAGGAGGAGGAGGAGGAAGCUGGACCGACUGGAUGAGGGUGAAGAUGGAGACGCCAUAUUGCCGAGCCGCAGCCACGAGCCGGGGAGAUAACAAAGGGCUGGAAGACGUGGCAGAAACGGGGCUACGCCGGUACCGGGGCGAGCAGAGCCCCCCCCCUCUUCCUGUGGCCUGAUGGGAAAUACAAACAUCCACUUGACCUGAUUUUUUUAUUUUUACUGCUGGACUCCCUGGAAAGAUGAGCCAAACAAAACGGCGUUGUGGACAACACGUUCUCGUUGGUGGGACCGUGAUCGGCUCAUGCGCUGGAGGGAUUUUAAGCAACACGAUUAACAGCAGGGAGAGAACCGAGAACUCUGCCCUGAAGCUUCUCUGGGGACCACGUCAGUCUUCGGGGCCCCCGGUUCCCUUUGAGGACCCCCUCCCCAGAAAACGUAGCUCAGAGUGAGCGCCGCUGUACAGUCUCCUAAAAUAGCUGCCGUUUCAAAAAUGCCUUUAAUGCAUUAAUUAUAACCAUCAACAAUUAACCCUUUGGGGAAAUAAGUGUGCAACAUCACGUGACCGGGUAGAACAUUAAAAAAAACAGACUGAUUUCCAUGAAGAAUUCCCUGCUACAUCAGCCAGAAGUGAAAGAACAAGACCAUACGCCAUUUAACCAUGGAGCUUAUUUGACAUUUAACAUGGAACUGGGCCUAUUCUUUCUUUUUCUGUUUCUCUGUCCACAUUUUGAAGCUGGCGAGUGGGAGGGAAGAUUCUCUUUGAUUUAUUUGUUGAUGUUGAUUUCAGGGUAGUGUCAGCAAUCCUUUUUUCCUGCAUCAUAAAAGGUGUUUUUUAUAACUAUUUGAAUAAAGUCUAGAUGUAUUGUGGAAUAGCGAAAGUUUGACUAAUAAAGAGCAAAUCAAU